UAAAAUCACUAAAAAGUAUACACGCAUAAAUUUUAGACAAAUCACAAUUACUAAUUAAGAGAUUACUCGAAAGAAUUAUGGAACAAACGCUGAGUUCAGUACAUCAAAUCUGACAUAUGCACCUAUGUCUCUUAACACGAAUUCGACUUCAAAUGAACCAAAAAAAAAAAACAAAAAACAAAUGCCGACCACUAAAAAAUAUUAGAACAACAAAGUCUUCUCCUGCCAUUACAUUCGUUCAUCAAACCACAAAAACAUAAAGUAGAAUAGGGUCUCUAAGUACAGAAGGAAGCUAGAUCAAGUAAAACAACCACUACGCUACAGAUGCAACAUUCAGUACACAUUGUUGGAACACAUAAACAAAAAUAAAUCAUUUCUUCUUAUCGGAUACGUUCUCGACCCGGAGCUCACCGGAUAGCUUGAAUAAUUUUGCGCAGUACCGCUGACGUGAAUCUAGGCAUUUCUUGGGAUCGAUUUCAUAUACGGAUACUUUAUUGUGAUCUCCAGCUACACUGUAAUUUACCAAUCUCAACACCUUCUCUGAACCCACCCACAUUAAGAAGAAGAAAUGGUGGAUAUAAACUCAACGACUACAUUUUCGAAAAACUAAAUCUACCUAUACAUAUAACGUGUCGAGUAUACAAUGGCCAAAACUUUAUU
rnacentral:lncRNA from 1 species